CAACUUGAGAGUUUGAUCCUGGCUCAGAACGAACGCUGGCGGCAGGCCUAACACAUGCAAGUCGAGCGAGACCUUCGGGUCUAGCGGCGGACGGGUUAGUAACGCGUGGGAACGUGCCCUUCACUACGGAAUAGUCCCGGGAAACUGGG
rnacentral:rRNA from 1 species